UGCUCCAUGUACGGUGCUGGGAGGUGUGAUCACACUUCCCUUACUGGUUGCUAAGCACACUGUUACUAAGCAACAGCAUUGAGAUGAUGCACAAAGCUAAAUUCUAGAUGUGUGUGUUGUAGUGUGUGCCUGCUACAGAAGAGUUGGAAAGUGGAGUGGGAGGAAAAAGUCUUCUAGUCCUGGAUAUCCUAUAUGCACCAUAAUUCCUAUGGAGUAGCCAUUUCCAACUGUUGCGGUAAAAACAGAUGCCUGACCACCCCCAUGCUUUCCAGGCCAGACUGUCCCACCUCAGAGAAAGAAGAAGGAAAGGCCUCUACAGCCACGAGGCAGCAGCAAUCCCAAAGUCUCCACGAUGGUCAGGACGGUGAUGGAGGACUGGAGGCCUAAACACCACAAGACCCUGUAUUGUAUCAUAUCCCUAAAGUUCCUGCUCCAGUAACAUACAACCCUGAACCAAAUCUUGCAGUCAUAUCGCUUGAUCUCUGAGUUUCUCAAUCACCUCCAGGAAACUGGCCAGCCUCAGAUUCUCCCAUGUUAAAGAAAGAUGAUAAAGAUACUCCAACAACAGAAAACAGUGUCUUCUUUCCAACCUGUAACCACAAACAGUGUCUUAACUAAGUGUAUAUUGGUGUGUGAGAUGUAAAUUAAAGAAAGCUCAAUGAUGGCUUUAUAACUAGAACUAGAAAAUGAUGAAUAAAGCGGGUAAGAUUGGUGUGGUUGUUUGGUCAACAAGCUUACUGGUUUGCAGUCCUUCUUUUGCUCAUUUAUUCACUGCUUGAUUGGUCCAUCCACCCAUCCAUUCAUCCUUUCAUCCUUCUACCCCGCCUCUUGCCCA